UCUGAGAGGAUGAUCAGCCACACUGGAACUGAGACACGGUCCAGACUCCUACGGGAGGCAGCAGUGGGGAAUAUUGCACAAUGGGCGCAAGCCUGAUGCAGCCAUGCCGCGUGUAUGAAGAAGGCCUUCGGGUUGUAAAGUACUUUCAGUCGUGAGGAAGGCGUUGUAGUUAAUAGCUGCAUCGUUUGACGUUAGCGACAGAAGAAGCACCGGCUAACUCCGUGCCAGCAGCCGCGGUAAUACGGAGGGUGCGAGCGUUAAUCGGAAUUACUGGGCGUAAAGCGCAUGCAGGUGGUUUGUUAAGUCAGAUGUGAAAGCCCGGGGCUCAACCUCGGAAUAGCAUUUGAAACUGGCAGACUAGAGUACUGUAGAGGGGGGUAGAAUUUCAGGUGUAGCGGUGAAAUGCGUAGAGAUCUGAAGGAAUACCGGUGGCGAAGGCGGCCCCCUGGACAGAUACUGACACUCAGAUGCGAAAGCGUG
rnacentral:rRNA from 1 species